rnacentral:rRNA from 1 species
UUAAAAUGAGAGUUUGAUCCUGGCUCAGGACGAACGCUGGCGGCGUGCCUAAUACAUGCAAGUCGAGCGAGCGGAACUAACAGAUUUACUUCGGUAAUGACGUUAGGAAAGCGAGCGGCGGAUGGGUGAGUAACACGUGGG